CUUCUACUCCCUCCGUCUAAAAAUACUUGUUGGAUAAAUGCAUAAAAAUGAAUGCAUCUAGAAUUAAAAUACGUCUAGAUACAUCCAUUCCUCCAACAAGUAUUUUCGGACGGAGAGAGUACAUA
rfam:Triticum aestivum genome assembly, contig: Triticum_aestivum_CS42_TGACv1_scaffold_130420_2BL